rnacentral:rRNA from 2 species
GAUGAACGCGGGCGGCGUGCCUAAUACAUGCAAGUCGAACGAGUUCUCGUUGAAUCUCGGUGCUUGCACCGAGAUUCAACAUGGAACGAGUGGCGGACGGGUGAGUAACACGUGGGUAACCUGCCCUUAAGUGGGGGAUAACAUUUGGAAACAGAUGCUAAUACCGCAUAGAUCCAAGAACCGCAUGGUUCUUGGCUGAAAGAUGGCGUAAGCUAUCGCUUUUGGAUGGACCCGCGGCGUAUUAGCUAGUUGGUGAGGUAAUGGCUCACCAAGGCGAUGAUACGUAGCCGAACUGAGAGGUUGAUCGGCCACAUUGGGACUGAGACACGGCCCAAACUCCUACGGGAGGCAGCAGUGGGGAAUCUUCCACAAUGGACGCAAGUCUGAUGGAGCAACGCCGCGUGAGUGAAGAAGGCUUUCGGGUCGUAAAACUCUGUUGUUGGAGAAGAAUGGUCGGCAGAGUAACUGUUGUCGGCGUGACGGUAUCCAACCAGAAAGCCACGGCUAACUACGUGCCAGCAGCCGCGGUAAUACGUAGGUGGCAAGCGUUAUCCGGAUUUAUUGGGCGUAAAGCGAGCGCAGGCGGUUUUUUAAGUCUGAUGUGAAAGCCCUCGGCUUAACCGAGGAAGCGCAUCGGAAACUGGGAAACUUGAGUGCAGAAGAGGACAGUGGAACUCCAUGUGUAGCGGUGAAAUGCGUAGAUAUAUGGAAGAACACCAGUGGCGAAGGCGGCUGUCUGGUCUGUAACUGACGCUGAGGCUCGAAAGCAUGGGUAGCGAACAGG